rnacentral:lncRNA from 1 species
GAGAGUCUGGGCUUUGCUGAUGCUGGGCUAAAAGGUGAGCUUAAAUGUGUUGUUUCACUGCCUCUAACCAUAGCACAUUCCAGGUCAGAGGAGGGAGACCUGCAAUCCUUCUGUAUCCUCUUUUCUUUGCCUUUUAGAUACAAAAGAUCAUUGAGACACUGUCACAGCAGCUUCAGGCAAAGGGAAAAGAACUCAAUGAAUUCCGGGAAAAGCACAACAUUCGUCUUAUGGGAGAAGAUGAGAAGCCAGCAGCCAAGGAAAACUCAGAAGGAGCUGGGGCUAAGUCCAGCUCAGCAGGGGUGCUGGUCUCUUAGGGACUAAGGCCUCUGCAUUCUAUUUUACCCUGAUUCCCACUUCUAAUUUCUUUUUAUUGUUAUUAUUAUUUUUCUGCUAUUGUAAUUUUUUUGUUGUUGUUAAUUAAAUGUUUUGGUCAAAUACUU